rnacentral:rRNA from 1 species
CUCUGACUUUGUUGAUUCUCGUAAUCUUCAAGUGAAGAGUUUGAUCCUGGCUCAGAUUGAACGCUGGCGGCGUGCCUAACACAUGCAAGUCGAGCGGUAACAGGUGUAGCAAUACAUGCUGACGAGCGGCGAACGGGUGAGUAAUGCUUCGGAAUCUACCCACGGGUGGGGAAUAACCAACCGAAAGGUUGGCUAAUACCGCAUAAGUCCUACGGGGGAAAGCGGGGGAUCGAAAGACCUCGCGCCGGUGGAUGAGCCGAAGCCGGAUUAGCUAGUUGGUAGGGUAAUGGCCUACCAAGGCGACGAUCCGUAGCUGGUCUGAGAGGACGACCAGCCACACUGGGACUGAGACACGGCCCAGACUCCUACGGGAGGCAGCAGUGGGGGAAUAUUGGACAAUGGGGGGAAACCCUGAUCCAGCGACGCCGCGUGUGUGAAGAAGGCCUGCGGGUUGUAAAGCACUUUUAGUGGGGAUGGAAAAGCCUAGGAGCUAAUACCUCCGGGUCUUGACCUAACCCACAGAAAAAGC